rnacentral:rRNA from 1 species
UACGUAGGGUGCGAGCGUUUAAUCGGAAUUACUGGGCGUAAAGUGUGCGCAGGCGGCCGCGCAAGUCGAGUGUGAAAGCCCCGAGCUUAACUUGGGAACUGCGCUCGAAACUACGUGGCUGGAGUGUGGCAGAGGAAGGUGGAAUUCCAGGUGUAGCGGUGAAAUGCGUAGAGAUCUGGAGGAACACCGAUGGCGAAGGCAGCCUUCUGGGCCAACACUGACGCUCAUGCACGAAAGCGUGGGGAGCAAACAGG